rnacentral:rRNA from 1 species
UACGAGGGGGGCUAGCGUUGCUCGGAAUCACUGGGCGUAAAGGGCGCGUAGGCGGGUCUUUAAGUCAGGGGUGAAAUCCUGGAGCUCAACUCCAGAACUGCCUUUGAUACUGAGGAUCUUGAGUUCGGGAGAGGUGAGUGGAACUGCGAGUGUAGAGGUGAAAUUCGUAGAUAUUCGCAAGAACACCAGUGGCGAAGGCGGCUCACUGGCCCGAUACUGACGCUGAGGCACGAAAGCGUGGGGAGCAAACAGG